CUGGCUCAGGAUGAACGCUGACAGAAUGCUUAACACAUGCAAGUCUACUUGAUCCUCGGGUGAAGGUGGCGGACGGGUGAGUAACGCGUAAAGAACUUGCCUUACAGACUGGGACAACAUUUGGAAACGAAUGCUAAUACCGGAUAUUAUGAUUGGGUCGCAUGAUCUGGUUAUGAAAGCUAUAUGCGCUGUGAGAGAGCUUUGCGUCCUAUUAGUUAGUUGGUGAGGUAACGGCUCACCAAGACGAUGAUGGGUAGCCGGCCUGAGAGGGUGAACGGCCACAAGGGGACUGAGACACGGCCCUUACUCCUACGGGAGGCAGCAGUGGGGAAUAUUGGACAAUGGACCAAAAGUCUGAUCCAGCCAAUUCUGUGUGCACGAUGAAGUUUUUCGGAAUGUAAAGUGCUUUCAGUUGGGAAGAAGUCAGUGACGGUACCAACAGAAGAAGCGACGGCUAAAUACGUGCCAGCCGCCGC
rnacentral:rRNA from 1 species